AUACGGAGGGUGCAAGCGUUACUCGGAAUCACUGGGCGCAAAGGACGCGUAGGCGGGAUGCCAAGUCUGAUGUGAAAUCCUACAGCUCAACUGUAGAACUGCAUUGGAAACUGGUAACCUAGAGUAUGGGAGGGGGAGAUGGAAUUAGUGGUGUAGGGGUAAAAUCCGUAGAUAUCACUAGGAAUACCUAAAGCGAAGGCGAUCUCCUGGAACAAUACUGACGCUAAGGCGUGAAAGCGUGGGGAGCAAACGGGAUUAGAAACCCCAGUAGUCC
rnacentral:rRNA from 1 species